UUUCGGCCAUAACUCCGUCCUCGGAUGUCGAAAUCAUGUGCCGUCGGUGGCGUUGGAAACUAGACAUUCCAGGCUUUAAUUUGAGAUAAAAUGCAUGUUCUGAUUCUUUGUGAGUGAGCUGAACCAAACGUUUUAAGAUCACUGUCCUGUUGCUCUGUUCAACUGGAAUGAAGUGAUAAGGCAGCAAAUUGAUGCCCGAUUUUGAAUUAGUUGAGUG
rnacentral:lncRNA from 1 species